GCAAGUCGAACGCUCUCGACCUUCGGGUCAUAUGGGAGAGUGGCGAACGGGUGAGUAACACGUGAGAAACCUGCCCUAAAGAUCGGGACAACCACUGGAAACGGUGGCUAAUACCGAAUAUCUUCCCUUGGCCGCAUGGCCAGUUGAAGAAAUGCUCCGGCGCUUUAGGAGGGUCUCGCGGCCUAUCAGCUAGUUGGUGAGGUAAUGGCUCACCAAGGCGACGAUGAAUAGCUGGUCUGAGAGGAUGACC
rnacentral:rRNA from 1 species